rnacentral:rRNA from 1 species
CUUUUGCCGGCGAGCGGCGGACGGGUGAGUAAUGCCUGGGGAUCUGCCCAGUCGAGGGGGAUAACAGUUGGAAACGACUGCUAAUACCGCAUACGCCCUACGGGGGAAAGGAGGGGACCUUCGGGCCUUUCGCGAUUGGAUGAACCCAGGUGGGAUUAGCUAGUUGGUGGGGUAAUGGCUCACCAAGGCGACGAUCCCUAGCUGGUYWGAGAGGAUGAUCAGCCACACUGGAACUGAGWCAYGGUCCAGACUCCUACGGGAGGCAGCAGUGGGGAAUAUUGCACAAUGGGGGAAACCCUGAUGCAGCCAUGCCGCGUGUGUGAAGAAGGCCUUCGGGUUGUAAAGCACUUUCAGCGAGGAGGAAAGGUUGGCGCCUAAUACGUGUCAACUGUGACGU